rnacentral:rRNA from 1 species
AGAGUUUGAUCAUGGCUCAGGAUAAACGCUGGCGGCGCACAUAAGACAUGCAAGUCGAACGGACAGAAUCCGAAUGUUUCAUUUGGAGGAUGUUAGUGGCGGACUGGUGAGUAACGCGUAAGGAACCUGCCUAUUAGAGGGGAAUAACAGUGAGAAAUCAUUGCUAAUACCGCAUAUACCAUAAUAGUUGCAUGACUAAAAUGGGAAAGGAGAAAUCCGCUAAUAGAUGGCCUUACGUCUGAUUAGGUAGUUGGUGGGGUAAAGGCCUACCAAGCCGACGAUCAGUAGCCGGACUGAGAGGUUGAACGGCCACAUUGGGACUGAGAUACGGCCCAGACUCCUACGGGAGGCAGCAGUCGGGAAUAUUGCGCAAUGGAGGAAACUCUGACGCAGUGACGCCGCGUAUAGGAAGAAGGUUUUCGGAUUGUAAACUAUUGUCGUUAGGGAAGAGAAAGGACAGUACCUAAGGAGGAAGCUCCGG